rnacentral:rRNA from 1 species
CCUACGGGGGGCAGCAGUGGGGAAUAUUGGGCAAUGGGCGCAAGCCUGACCCAGCAACGCCGCGUGAAGGAAGAAGGCUUUCGGGUUGUAAACUUCUUUUGUCAGGCAGAGUAAAAGCCGGUACCUGACGAAUAAGCCCCGGCUAACUACGUGCCAGCAGCCGCGGUAAUACGUAGGUGGCAAGCGUUGUCCGGAUUUACGGGGUGUAAAGGGCGUGUAGCCGGGUUGACAAGUCAGAUGUGAAAUCCUGCGGCUUAACCGCAGAACUGCAUUUGAAACUGUUGACCUUGAGUACUGGAGAGGCAGACGGAAGUCCUAGUGUAGCGGUGAAAUGCGUAGAUAUUAGGAGGAACACCAGUGGCGAAGGCGGUCUGCUGGACAGCAACUGACGGUGAGGCGCGAAAGCGUGGGGAGCAAACAGGAUUAGAUACCCGAGUAGUC